rnacentral:rRNA from 1 species
GAUGAACGCUGGCGGCGUGCCUAAUACAUGCAAGUCGAGCGAACAGACGAGGAGCUUGCUCCUCUGACGUUAGCGGCGGACGGGUGAGUAACACGUGGAUAACCUACCUAUAAGACUGGGAUAACUUCGGGAAACCGGAGCUAAUACCGGAUAAUAUAUUGAACCGCAUGGUUCAAUAGUGAAAGACGGUUUUGCUGUCACUUAUAGAUGGAUCCGCGCCGCAUUAGCUAGUUGGUAAGGUAACGGCUUACCAAGGAGACGAUGCGUAGCCGACCUGAGAGGGUGAUCGGCCACACUGGAACUGAGACACGGUCCAGACUCCUACGGGAGGCAGCAGUAGGGAAUCUUCCGCAAUGGGCGAAAGCCUGACGGAGCAACGCCGCGUCAGUGAUGACGGUCUUCGGAUCGUAAAACUCUGUUAUUAGGGAAGAACAAAUGUGUAAGUAACUAUGCACGUCUUGACGGUACCUAAUCAGAAAGCCACGGCUAACUACGUG